GUCAGUUUGGGUCAUCUGUCCUGGUUUUGUUCUCUCACAGCUCCCUGUGCACUCCCCGCCUGCCUUGAUGGUGAGACAGUACAAGACGCUAAGAAAACUGAAAUGUCCUCAGCUCUUUGCAGCACUGCUCAGCAACAACUAAAACAUCAAUGUUACAUCAACAUCAUUUUUCACCUAAAGCCAAAACAUAGGAUAAUACCGACCACUAUGAAGAAAAUCAACUAAUUCCCAGAUGAAAUAAGGACAUUUUUCAUGGUAAUUCCAGCGAUGAAAAGCAGAACAUCACUACAGUUUACCUACUAUGAUGGAGAAUAUUUUGGAAGCUAUCUGUUUGGUCAAGGAAAAGUGACACAGUAUUCUAAGGAAGCACUGAUGUGUUAUCUACUAAUAGCCUGCUUCUCAGAAAAUAAAACAGUGUUUUAAACAGAAUUCUGAGGUGUAUAGGUGAUUCUGCCCCUCAGCUCUGCUCUUGUGAGACACCACCUGGAGUACUGCACGCUGUUCUGGGGCCCCCAACACAAGAAGGACGUGGAGCUGCUGGAUCAGGUCCAGAGGAGGGCCAAGAAGAUGAUCGGAGAACUGGAGCACCUCCCCUACAGGGACAAGCUGAGGGAGCUGGGGCUUUUCACCCUGAAGAAGAGAAGGCCUCAGGGGAACCUUAUAGCAGCCUUCCAGUACCUGAAGGGGACCUACAAGAGAGACCUACAGGUCCAGCAGGAAGUCCAUUUGCUACGCACUUCACAAGGAAGUCCAUGCAACUGAUAUUCCUAUCAGAGUUCAAAACAAUGAAACGUCAAUCAAAAAAUAGAAGAUCUUGGAAGGGUUUAUUAAUACUGUCAUCGUGAUACACCUCCAUUACACUGCCUCACAAGGAGAAAGCAGGAAAUGCAGCUGAAAGAGGACUGUCUACAUCAUACUAUACUGAACUACUGAAAUAGCCCAAGGGAACUGAAGACCACUGAACAUUAUCUAGACACUCCUGAGGGAUCAAUCCCUUGACAGUCAGCAUCUCUCCAGGCUGUUUUUCAAGAAGCUAUAUUGAGAAACCAGAGCAUUCUGCCAAAGAUUUGGAGAAUUUCUGAUCCAAUCUUCAGGGAUUUGAAUUCUAUAUGCAUUGUAAUAGGUGAAAGAUGAGUGAACAAAGCUACAGAAUGGCAAGGUAUAUUGAUAGAGAAUCAUCUUUUAGUAAUAUUUCUCUCUUCUGACUAAGAAAAGAGCUGAUUUAAGGACAAGGGCUGGCAGAGGGUGUGUUUUGAGACAUUUUCUGUCUAUUCUCCAAACUGGCAGACAAGAAGAGCAUGUCACAUUCAACUAGCACUUAUUCCAAAAUCAAAAACAAUAAAUCUUACACUUUCUUAACACCUUGAAAAAUCCAGUUACAUAUCUCUAAAUCUGCCUGUGCAUACCUAAUUAUGAUUUGAAGAUUCAAGUUUUAAAAUGACCAUAUACUUCUUUGCCCCAGGUAGCUCCUUUAAGUCUUGAUUGUUCUAACUGAACUCCAUACAAAGACAAAAGCAGAUUACAUAUGGUUUCACUAAUUUCCCUUUCUUUUUUUUUUUUUUUCUUUUUUUUUCUUUUUUUUUUUUUCAAGAUGCUACUGAUGGAAGUUUUCCUGUUAAUAGGAGUCUGAACAUUUUUCAUCAAGCUCACUUGUAAGAAACGUUCAGAUCAGACCAUUUCACAUUAUUUUUAUUAAUAGCCUCUGCUUACUUCAGUAGGACAUCAUUAUUUAUCUCUGUCAAUGACCAUGACAUAUAGCCAGUCUCAAAGGCACCAAAUGGCUAAGAUAAAGGCCAAAGGUUACUCUCUGGAGGGAGUGGAAAAUCAACAUGAGUGAUGCAGAUGGUUCACUCAUGGCCCUAAUUAUCUUUUGUAAAAUGCAUCGCUGAAGGCAAGAUGAAAAUCAAAGCAAGGAGAAUUUAAAUGGAAUCUCACACUUGUCUUCCUUUGGAAAGAAAAGUGACUUUUUAGUGCAUAUCUGGGCUAGUAACAACAACAGCAGUAAUCAUAACAACAAGCGGGCUCGUUAUAGUGCGUUCUGACUCUAGGUACACUUUCAUUCAGAUGGAUUUGUGUCUAGGUCAUUUUGGACAGUCUCUAACAAUGGCACAGAACUGUCUUUAUCUGCUGAGCUGUCAUAGGGAGUUAAUUACAGCUUAAGGCUGUGUUGUAUUACUUCUGCAUUCCUUCUUGCAACUGCUAUUAAACAGAUAUGAAUUGAUGCAGGCUGCAGAAGAACAACUCACUAACAUUUCUUGAAUCAACUAUAGCACUUAAUAAUGGGUCUGGUCCCUGAGACUAGAUUCCAUAAAUGGACCCUAAAUCCUAUAUGUUAAAAAGCAUUUUAAAGAUGGUAUUGGUGGAAUUAUUCUUUGUUUUAUGACGAUUACAUUUUAUAGAGAAUUUGGACAGAGACAGCUAUUUGGUCUGUAUGGGAUAAACACUUCCUAGUUCCAUUAUUACUGCAUAAUCAUUGAAUGUGUACUGUUUUGCAAAGAUACUGAUCAUCACGUUUUAUAAUUGGAACCAAGCUGAGUUUUAUAUCUCCACAGGAUGCAAAGCAUGCUCUCAUUUCUGUGAAAUUUUAUACUAAUUGGGAUUUUAAAUGGUGCUCUCUGCAAUGCCCGUUUGCAAAAUUAUUUACUUCACAUGGAAAUUCUCAGGUUUUGCUUUUAGAGUGACUAUAAACUACUGAGAAGGGAUUCCCACAUAUCAUACAUUUUACUAAAAUAUUACUGGCACUGGAAUCAAAAUGGAAUAAUUUGACCACAGCAUCACUAUUAGAACAACUAUAACUGAAUUACUGUAUUGGUUUGCCUAGGAAGGGCUAAUUAGAAUGCACAAAUAACUGCUCUAAAAUGUCUAUACUCCUCAAACUAUUAUGUCUGCAGAGACCUGGCAUCUCACUCAGAGCCUGCCUGGGAAUCUCUCAUGUCAGUGCAUUGCACUACGUCCAGCAAAAAAGCACCAUCUCUAAAGACUAUAAGGGACCAUAUUGUUAUUUAUAUUGCUCUUCCUUACAAACUAAUUAAGUUACAAAAAUGAGGUCAUAAAAUCUAAAUUUAUGAAUAAAAGAGCUUCAAAGAAUAAAUUUUAGACUUGAUUGUUCAUUCUGCUUUGCAACGUUGAUCCCUGACUCUAUUGUGGACUGCUUCAGCUCUGAGACAAAUUGGUUCUACAAUCUUUGAAUUUUUGGAGGCUAAUCCAAACCAAUGAAGAUACAACCAAAUAAUUUUUCUUAGCUCUAUGAGGUGAUCCCCAUAGCUCCUAACAUUUUCUGCUGGUAUUUAGGUCCCUAAUGACUCAAACUGUGGAAAAAUAUCAACAGACACAAAGGCAAUACACUUAAUUUUAUUGGUAGUUUCCUUUAAGUAGGAUCUGGCAAUUCCUUGGUAACUCACUUACGUUCCUAUAAUGCACAUAAAUCAAUGAGGGUGAAGGUCUUUCCCUUUAAAAAUGUUCUAUUUUGUUAUUUUUUUCUUUCAUUUAAAGCAGAAAGUAAUUUAGAGAGAAGACAUAUGGGUUCUUUUACUACAUGGAGAAAUAUACCAUCUGGGAACUUCACAGAACAGGUUCUUUAAAACUACCUUACAUUCAUAGUUUUGGUAAUAAACCAAAAAUAAAGUUCCCGUUAAGCUUUAUUAUGGACUUACCACUUAAGUAGUUAAGUAAAGUAAGUUAUAUUGCUAAUAAGAUCUCUUGUGCACUGUGCCUAUUUUUGCUUACCUUCUCUUUUAAUUUUCUGUAGAUCUUUAAGCUUUAACCUCUUAAGAUUUUAUUCUUUCAAGCUAAAUUUGCAGUUAUAUGGAAUAACAUUCAGCUCAAGAUUAAACACUUACUUUUGGAUAUCUACAUAUAAGUGUCUUCAUUUGAACGAAAUACCUAACACUGGUCAGUAUCAUUAACAGAGCCUAGAAAAUGACUUUGGCAUAAACUGAAAUACUAGAAAUUUUAUUCAAAGAAAAUAAUAAUAAUAAAAAAAUUACUCAGAGGUUGGUCAGACACUCAAAAAGGUUGUCCAGAGAGUUUAUGGAGUGUCCACCUUAGGGUUCUUUAAAAUCCAACUGCACAUGUUCCAGCACCUGUACUUGGUGAUUCUUGUCUGCACAGAGACUGGACUAGAUAAUUUCUAGAGUUCCUUCUUCACCUCAACUGUCCUGCAGUCUUGUGAUUCUGUGAGUAACCUUGCCAGCCUGUAUCAGUCACCUCUUCGCCUGUUGUUAAAUUCAUGGGAGCAGUAAGGAAUCAGGAACUCGGAAAAUGAAACAGAAACCUUGUGUUACAGGGAUUUAUAUGGGAAAAUUGAUUUUUGUUCUUCCUCCACUAGCACAUUUUAUUUGAGGAUACUUUGAAGCAAUACGUUUCAUGGAGAGGACAGGGUAUGAAACCACAGAAGGACCUCAUACUCCACUCCUGAACCAUUAACUGACCAAAUGUCACUGAUCAUAGCACCUGCCCACAACUCAGGGACUCUGCUAUGUAGCUGAACAUGACCAGGAUGCAGACACUGACAGUCUCUAUAUUAUUAAAUACUGCACCCUCUGCAACCCAAGCCAUUCUAUGAUUCUGUGAUCCCUCCACUGAAACAUGCUUACAUUUUAGGAGCACUUGGAAAAAAAGGACUGCAAAGAAGAGUGCAAGUCCUAUGAAUAACAGGCAACAGCUGAACUCAAACAACCCUUCUAUUCAAGUCUGGAACACAGCCAGUGUCAGUAUCUUAAAAGUGGAAAAAGGUAUAUUCUUUUCCAGUCUACUUUUGUAAGCUGAAAAGACUGAAAUCACUGCAGAGAAUAACAAAGCUUGCUUGCUUCUUAAGGAAAAGAAGUCUGAAUUUAAGUCUGUUUAACAAAUCUCUGAUCUGUGCAUUUAAUCUGUUCUUAGAAAGGUAGAAGAUUAAGAAAAAGAAAAAAAGAAAAAGAAAGAAAAACAGGAAUGUUAGAGGCUGUGUCUGUAUCAGUAUUUUAGGUCAGAUCAGUACAGUCCUUUUGAAGAAAAUUCCCUGAUAUUUUCAUACUAUUUAGAUUUGUGUCUUCAAGUGACUCCGAAGCUAAUCUUGGGUAAGGAAUCAGUACUGAGUCCUUAGAAAUUUUUUGAACCACUGCAAAAUAGAACUUACUAGUGUAGACAUUGCCCUUUCUAAAAGGGGGAUGUAAUUGUGUCAUGGUCUCAUUACCACCUACACAAUAAUCUGCCAUAUGGAGUUAUGUUCAUGACAGCUGGAGUGCCACUUGACAGUUGUGGGUUGUAUUUUCUUUUUCCCAGGAAAAAAAUACAGCUGCCAGUAAGGUACUGUAAAGGGGGAAGAAAGGUAUUUUUAGGACAGAAAGUUAACAAAUGUGACUAUGCAAGCUUUUAAGUUACAAGUAAUAAAGUCUCAAGUAUGAUCAAUCAGAACAGAUUGUCAUAAGUAUAAAAAUUCCAUUACUUCCAGUGUAAAAAGGACUAGAACAAUUAAAAUUUUCAUGAACACUGAAAAUUAAUUUUUGGCCACCUGGACUGUUAUAAAGUACAUGAGAAUUUAUUUCUUGUCUCUGUAAUUUAAAAUCAUUUCUCUAGAAAGAAGUAAUAAGUCAAUUAUCCAUAUCAAUAUAUAUGUUUUACUGAAUGUGUUCUGAUGCUUUACAUUUACAUACCAUUUCAAAUCCAAGUGGGAAAUUUGGAAGCUUUGGGAAUAAAAAUACCCCUUUACUUUGUGAAGUGAAAAAGUUCUGUGGUACUGUAACAGUAAUUAUAGCCUAGAAAACAUAGAAAAUUUUCUUUUGAAUAUGUGGACAUUUUUUAAAAAAAAUACUGUUUCUUUCAAAUUAUUUAUCUGAAUUCAUGUCUUUUAAAUGUAUCUGUACAGAAGAGAUAUGGAUCUAUUCGAGUGCAUUCAGAGGAGGACCACAAAAAUGAUCCAAGGAAUGGAACACCUCCCCUAUGAGGAUGGACUGGAAGAGCUGGGGCUGUUCAGCCUGGAGAGGAGAAGGCUCCAGGGAGACCUGAGAGUGACCUUUCAGUAUAUAAAAGAGGGCUGUGAGAAAGAAGGGGGUGGACUCUUUAGCAGGGUCUGUGGUGACAGGAUGAGGGAAAAUGGUUUCAAACUAGAAGAGGUAAGAUUUAGACUUUAUAUAAAGGAAAAGUUUUUUACAGUAAGGGUAGUGAGAAUACUGGAAUAUGUUGUCCAGAAAGACAGUGAAUGCUCCAUCCCUGGCAACACUCAAGGUCAGGCUGGAUGGGGCUCUGAGCUCUGGAUCGUGCUGAAGGUGUCCCUGUUCAUUGAAGGGGAGUUGGACUAGAUGACCUUUAAAGGUCCCUUCCAACUCUAAGGAUUGUAUGAUUCUGUGAUUCUAUCAAUGCAAAUGGCAAAAAUAACCUCUUCAAAACUUUUUUUUUUUUUCAGAAAAGAAAAGAAAAGAAAAGAAAGGAAAAGAAAGGAAAAGAAAGGAAAAGAAAGGAAAAGAAAGGAAAAGAAGAGAAAAGAAGAGAAAAGAAGAGAAAAGAAAAAGAAGAGAAGAGAAAAGAAAAAGAAGAGAAGAGAAAAGAAGAGAAAAGAAGAGAAGAGAAAAGAAAAGAAGAGAAAAGAAGAGAAAAGAAGAGAAAAGAAGAGAAAAGAAGAGAAAAGAAGAGAAAAGAAGAGAAAAGAAGAGAAGAGAAAAGAAGAGAAAAGAAGAGAAAAGAAGAGAAAAGAAGAGAAAAGAAAAGAAAAGAAAAGAAAAGAAAAGAAAAGAAAAGAAAAGAAAAGAAAAGAAAAGAAAAGAAAAGAAAAGAAAAGAAAAGAAAAGAAAAGAAAAGAAAAGAAAAGAAAAGAAAAGAGAAGAAAAGAGAAGAAAAGAGAAGAAAAGAGAAGAAAAGAAAAGAAAAGAUUUGUACAUAUCUGAAAUUUCUGAUGGCAAAAUCUUAUACAUUAAUACUUUACAUUGAUUCAGGUCGUUCUGUGCUUUAGAUUAGCAUAAAACAUUUCCUAUAUCAUUUACUGUUUGAAAAUAGGCAAAUAGGCCAUGACAAACUUGUCAUUAAGUUAUGUCUAUUUUUUUUAGUUAUGUUAAUCAUGAACAUAAAAUUAUCCAUCCAAAAUGCACUACGUGUGCAGGAUAGCCUUUGAAAAAGACUGCUCUUAAAGGGAAGAAGACAAGAAGAAAUAAAAAUGAAAGUGUUUCCAAUCAGUUUCCAGGUUUUCUUGGCUAAUAUCUAUUCAUUUUCUGUAAAUAACCUAGCUAUAUCUAUUUAUGUGUGUGUGUAUUCAAAGACACAUUCUAAAGAUAGUAUCCAGAGAAUUUUAAAUAAUUACUUUCAGAAGAGAAAUCAAUGUACUGAUGUAAAUACUUGCCCCUGAAGUCCAACUCUAAGAACUUUCAAUCUUAUGCAGAUUUAGGGAUAUACCAGUAUGUCUUAAUCUGUCAACAAGACAGAAGAAAUUUGAAUUUCUGAAUAAGCUAAAAAAAGUAAAUUAUACAUGAAUAUUCAUAAAUAUGAAAAUCUGCAUACUGAAAUAUUGUUUGUUCAAAACAUUCAAUGGCUUUUUUUGUAUAAUGAAAAUCUCAUGGAAAAUACGAUGUGAUUCCUAGAAAUUCACCCAAGAAAAACAAGCAGUAAAUUCCAUCAGUGAUUCCUAAUGAAUAGUUCAUCCUGCUAUUUAUUAGCCUAUUGAACUGCAGAUGAAUAACAUGGCUGUGAAUAAAUAUAGAUGUAUUUCUGUAAAUAACUAUUUAUUUUAAAUUCACUUUCUAACUUUUACAAAAUGUAUUCCUUAGUCUGUGAACUUUUGGCCAUCCAUACAGUAGAUAUGCUCCUUUCUGAGAUAUAGGCUUUUGCUCUAUCAUUGAGUAGCUCUUGCUAUCCAACACUAUAUGUUCUAGAUUUUUAUUUCACUACUUUUAUGAUUAUCUGAGUAACUUGAGUAUAUGUUUUUGCCCAGAGAAGCUGUUAUGCCCCAUGCAUGGAAGUGCUCAAGGCCAGGCUGGAUGGGGUCCUGGGCAGCCUGAGCUGGUAGGGAGCAACCAGCCCAUAGCAGGGUGUUGGAUCUUGAUGCUAUUUUAGCUCCCUUGCAACAUAAGCUGUUCUAUAGCACUGUGAUUAUAUUAUAUGUACAAAUAGGCUUAUUAUUUAUUUUAGAAUGUUUUUGCUAUUUGAAGAGGCAAUGUUGCCUCAUGAGAAUUGAGUCUGGUAAGAAAGGUUUGAUAGGCACAGAGAAAGAAUCCAUUGUAUACUCCAUUUUAUUUAGGGCUGGCCAGCAAAUCUAACUUAUAUCUUAUUUUUAUGUUAGCAGAGUACAACAGAGGAACAAUCCCCAGGUAGGGAUGAGAGCAGGAAAUACUGUUAAGCAGAAGUAAAUUGAUGUUAGAUACUAUUCAUACCCAAUAAAAAAUGGUUAUAAAUGUCAAUGAAAUACUUAUAAGAUACAAAAGAGAAUUCUCACAAAACUACUAAUCCCUUCUGGCCCUCUGGGGUCUGAAUGAUUUUAAAAGCCAACUAUGGAAGUAUGAUAUUUCUCGUAUAAAAAAAUACAUGUCAAUACUAAUACUAAAGUGAUCUACAUGUCACAAGUUAUCAAGAAAUUAAAUGGUAAAAGUUACAAACUGGCAACACACGUAUUUAGCAAUGGUUCAUAUUACACUAUUUCCUUUUUUGACUCUAACAUCUUUCUUGGUGCACCCAACUAAAUACUGGCUACUCAGAGUUUCAAUAUAACUUACGGAAACAUAAUUGCAAAGAAGUAGUGUUCCCCUCUUGAAAUCACGCUUCUAAGUCACCUACUGUAGCAAUAUGCUGUUUUUAUUUUGGUUAGUUGCAUUUUUCAUUUUACAAUAGCUUUAUUCUGUUCUUAUCUUAAUCCUUUAUUUCCCAUGCUACUCUAUAAUUUUCUUUGUUGCUUGAUCAAUUUGAAGCAUGUUUACACUUCACAUGGAGAUAAGAGAGUCGUGGUCUUUCUAUCCUCCCUGCUACCAGUCAGUCAGAAAUGCAUACCCAAACACAUUAGGGCACUGAGUACAAACUGAGUCCCACUGAGAGAUGGAUUUCUUCAGUUUCAACUUGGCACUCACACAGAUUUGAGUUUCAGACUGAAUUUGGCUCUUGUCUUAUCAUCUUCAAGGAUAAGAAAAGUGCCAUCAAUCUAUCUACCUUUACCAUUGCUGUUAAAUGUAUUGCUACAAUAUUCAAUGUUAUCUUCCUAAAAUUAGGGCAUCCAUAAGAUUUAACUUUACUUGAAAACCACUGUUCUUCUAUGCAAAGACAGAUUAUUGAUCAUCUGAGCUCUGUCCAACAUAAACCUUGACUGGGGUGCUUUAUACAGUGAGUAGUUGUACAUACAUGUGAGAGAACAAUGUAUUAGACUGCUGUCUGCUUCUCAGUGGCUCUUCACAUCUCUGUAAUAGUAGACUAUCAGGGAGAUGAAUUGGUGAAGGAGCAUAUGACUUAAAAGUAAAAAGUGAACAAUUAAUGGAUUUAUUACAAGUCAUGGUUUGCAUGCAUAAAGCAACAUUUUAAUAUAUCUUAAAUCCUAGCAGUCCAAUAAAUCAAGGACAGUAUUGAAGAGCAAAAUCGGGUCCCUGCAGUAUAGAAAGAAGGGCUUCAUAGCAAGAAAAGAGAAAGCAGCUUCACAAAGUAGACACAAGGGGCAAAUAGAAAUAGUUUAUAUAGAGAGUGUUAGAAAACAAGGGAUUCCAAGCACUUUCACAGGCACUAGAUCCAGAAUAACAAGGAGAAUGAAGGCCAUAAAGAUAAGGACCGGAGAACAGCUGAAAAGCAUUUGGCAGGGAGGUGAUUAGAUGUCUGAAGUGCAAGCUGAAACCAGUUCGGGGGAUGCCCCCCUCCCUUCAGGGUCAGAAGUUUGCAGCGAGGAAGACUAUGAGCCUUCGCAAGGCUAUUGGACUUCGUAUGCUAAUGGACUCUCGGGAAUGUAGUGAAUAUGUAUCCGAAUUCCUGAUUAUGUAGUGAAUAUGUAUUCGAAUUCCUCUAGAUUAUAUCUAUAGCACGAUUUCUUCGGACAGUGUGCAAGUUUGGUGGAACGAUCCCCCUUGCACCUUGGUGUACGCGCAUCACCAAUAAACACAUACCUGCUCUAUAUCCUUACUGGCUAUAGAGUCUGAUUUCCGCACGUCAGUAUAAACAUAGAAAAAGUGAUUCAUAGUAUGCCACACCAUAUUCAAAGUUUGUCCGCUGCUGUGGCUACCUAGCACAAUAGCAAAGAACUACCCAUCAGUGAACUGUCAGUUUUAUUUAUAUUGAUCCUAAAAUCACCUCUUGAGGUAUUUACACUUCAAACUGGAUAUGUAUGUCAGCCAAGAAAAGAAAAGCAACCUCUCACAGAACUGGCUCAGUUCCACUAUUACUGGAGAAAGGUGGGAGUAAGAAACAAAGAGUAUAGAUGUGUCGAAAAUUCCAAGGGCACAUCAGCAAUACAGGAAAUACUGUAAGCAAUUUAGAAAGUAAUUUUUUUUGUUAUUGUUGUUCCAUAAAUGAGGAAUAAUUCCAUCCUGGUGCCAUGAGAGAGAGAGUUCUGGUAAAGACUUCUUUUUUUUAUUUUUAAUUUCACCUGAGAAAAUCCACAAAGUUGAUUCACAAAAAUAAUAAAUAGCUUCCAUCUUCUUUAGAAGGAUAAAUCCAAACAUUAGUACAUUUUUUGUGGGUUCUAGAUGGGUAUAUUUCUUUUCAUUUCUGGCCUGAAGUCUUGCGAGAAAGUAUCUUCAAAGUGGUGAUCCCACCCAAGAUGCUGCUAAAGCAUCAUUUCAUGUUAGCCAGAAUAAAGUUAUCAAAUCACUGAUUCAGAAAAUAGGCACAGGGUGAGGGUGACCUGAAGAAGGACUGCUAUUUUACAUUCUCCACCACUAUGAUUGUCCAUCUACAAAAUUCUGAUCAGAAGCUAUCAAAACUCCAAAAGCUUGCAAAUUACUUUGGGGUAUUCCUUGUAAUAAUACACAAUACUUCUGAUUAACUAAACAGAUAAGGAAGGUAUGGUUUUGCUCAGGAACUGAAAAAGUGCUGGACAGUUUAAUGGCAAAGAUUUUCAGAAGAUUCAAAGACAUUUCAUAAAGAUUUAUAGAUUUUCAUGUAUAGUGUGGCAAAAACAACUGAAGCACUCUGCUUCUGUUCUUUGUAAAAUGCUGCAACAAUAUUUCACUUGCUUGAUCUGUUUCAUUUCAUAUUAAUCUGUAAAUUUUACUUGAAUUUUUGUGUCAUACUAACAGAAACCCAAUCAUUGCUUGAGCCUUUAAAAUUCCUAUGCAUAAAAAACAGAAUAGAAAAAAAACAUAGUAGGUUCAAGUUACAUGAAAGUAUAGUAGUAUCCUAUUUUUAAAUAAUAUAUUUUACUUAAGCUAUUAAUUAAUCUUUUACUUUAGUUCAUUUUAACUCCCUAUAUUGAUUUCCUAUUUUCCAUUACAAUGUAAUUAAUUUAGCUACACAUUCAUGUUUGUAU
ensembl:lncRNA